rnacentral:miRNA from 1 species
CCUCCCACCUCCUGGACAGCUCACUAAGAAUGCAGCUUCAUCCAUUUUGAAGCUGCAUUCUUAGUGAGCUGUCCAGGAGGUGGGAGG